rnacentral:rRNA from 1 species
AUUGAACGCUGGCGGCAUGCCUUACACAUGCAAGUCGAACGGUAACAGGUCUUCGGAUGCUGACGAGUGGCGAACGGGUGAGUAAUACAUCGGAACGUGCCCGAUCGUGGGGGAUAACGGAGCGAAAGCUUUGCUAAUACCGCAUACGAUCUACGGAUGAAAGCAGGGGACCGCAAGGCCUUGCGCGGACGGAGCGGCCGAUGGCAGAUUAGGUAGUUGGUGGGAUAAAAGCUUACCAAGCCGACGAUCUGUAGCUGGUCUGAGAGGACGACCAGCCACACUGGGACUGAGACACGGCCCAGACUCCUACGGGAGGCAGCAGUGGGGAAUUUUGGACAAUGGGCGCAAGCCUGAUCCAGCCAUGCCGCGUGCAGGAUGAAGGCCUUCGGGUUGUAAACUGCUUUUGUACGGAACAAAACGGCCCUUUCUAAUAAAGGGGGCUAAUGACGGUACCGUAAGAAUAAGCACCGGCUAACUACGUGCCAGCCGCGCAGUAAAAC